rnacentral:rRNA from 1 species
GUCGAACGGCAGCACGGACUUCGGUCUGGUGGCGAGUGGCGAACGGGUGAGUAAUGUAUCGGAACGUGCCCAGUAGCGGGGGAUAACUACGCGAAAGCGUAGCUAAUACCGCAUACGCCCUUCGGGGGAAAGCAGGGGAUCGUAAGACCUUGCACUAUUGGAGCGGCCGAUAUCGGAUUAGCUAGUUGGUGAGGUAAUGGCUCACCAAGGCCGCGAUCCGUAGCUGGUUUGAGAGGACGACCAGCCACACUGGGACUGAGACACGGCCCAGACUCCUACGGGAGGCAGCAGUGGGGAAUUUUGGACAAUGGGGGAAACCCUGAUCCAGCCAUCCCGCGUGUGCGAUGAAGGCCUUCGGGUUGUAAAGCACUUUUGGCAGGAAAGAAACGGCGCGUGCUAAUACCAUGCGCAACUGACGGUACCUGCAGAAUAAGCACCGGCUAACUACGUGCCAGCAGCCGCGGUAAUACGUAGGGUGCAAGCGUUAAUCGGAAUUACUGGGCGUAAAGCGUGCGCAGGCGGUUCGGAAAGAAAGAUGUGAAAUCCCAGGGCUCAACCUUGGAACUGCAUUUUUAACUACCGGACUAGAGUAUGUCAGAGGGAGGUGGAAUUCCACGUGUAGCAGUGAAAUGCGUAGAUAUGUGGAGGAACACCGAUGGCGAAGGCAGCCUCCUGG